rnacentral:rRNA from 1 species
GAUGAACGCUGGCGGCGUGCCUAAUACAUGCAAGUCGAGCGAACAGACGAGGAGCUUGCUCCUCUGACGUUAGCGGCGGACGGGUGAGUAACACGUGGAUAACCUACCUAUAAGACUGGGAUAACUUCGGGAAACCGGAGCUAAUACCGGAUAAUAUAUUGAACCGCAUGGUUCAAUAGUGAAAGACGGUUUUGCUGUCACUUAUAGACGGAUCCGCGCCGCAUUAGCUGGUUGGUAAGGUGACGGCUUACCCAGGCAACGAUGCGUAGACGACCUGAGAGGGUGAUCGGCCACACUGGAACUGAGACACGGUCCAGACUCCUACGGGAGGCAGCAGUAGGGAAUCUUCCGCAAUGGGCGAGAGCCGGACGGAGCAACGCCGCGUGAGGGAUGAAGGUCUUCGGAUCGUAAAGCUCUGUUAUUAGGGAAGAACAAAUGUGUAAGUAACUAUGCACGUAUUGACGGUACCUAAACAGAAAGCCACGGCUAACUACGUG